rnacentral:misc_RNA from 1 species
UUGUGCUAACCUAAGAGCAGCCUACAAAGAGAAGAACCAAUGUUGAUCAUAGUCAAUCAACCACAAGAAACUUAUAGAGAAACGAAUGCCUUGUAAAAACAAAAUGCAAAUAACAUAAAGUUUCCAUAGUUUAGCCAGGUAACAAACUUGAACAACAUAAAAUCAACAAUAUUUUCUUUACAUUUGAUGUCAGAUUCUGAGAAUUUG